rnacentral:ncRNA from 1 species
UAACAUGAGAGUUUGAUCCUGGCUCAGGAUGAACGCUGGCGGCGUGCUUAACACAUGCAAGUCGAACGAAGCAACUUAUUACGAUCCCUUCGGGGUGACGAUUUGUUGACUGAGUGGCGGACGGGUGAGUAACGCGUGGGUAACCUACCUUGUACAGGGGGACAACAGUUGGAAACGACUGCUAAUACCGCAUAAGCGCACAGCUUCGCAUGAAGCAGUGUGAAAAGUUUUUCGGUACAAGAUGGACCCGCG